UAGGUACAGGCUUAACACAUGCAAGUCGAGGGGCAUCAGGAAGAAAGCUUGCUUUCUUUGCUGGCGACCGGCGCACGGGUGAGUAACACGUAUCCAACCUGCCCUUUACUCGGGGAUAGCCUUUCGAAAGAAAGAUUAAUACCCGAUAGCAUAAUGAUUCCGCAUGGUUUCAUUAUUAAAGGAUUCCGGUAAAGGAUGGGGAUGCGUUCCAUUAGGUUGUUGGUGAGGUAACGGCCCACCAAGCCUUCGAUGGAUAGGGGUUCUGAGAGGAAGGUCCCCCACAUUGGAACUGAGACACGGUCCAAACUCCUACGGGAGGCAGCAGUGAGGAAUAUUGGUCAAUGGGCGCUAGCCUGAACCAGCCAAGUAGCGUGAAGGAUGAAGGCUCUAUGGGUCGUAAACUUCUUUUAUAUAAGAAUAAAGUGCAGUAUGUAUACUGUUUUGUAUGUAUUAUAUGAAUAAGGAUCGGCUAACUCCGUGCCAGCAGCCGCGGUAAUACGGAGGAUCCGAGCGUUAUCCGGAUUUAUUGGGUUUAAAGGGAGCGUGGGUGGACUGGUAAGUCAGUUGUGAAAGUUUGCGGCUCAACCGUAAAAUUGCAGUUGAUACUGUCAGUCUUGAGUACAGUAGAGGUGGGCGGAAUUCGUGGUGUAGCGGUGAAAUGCUUAGAUAUCACGAAGAACUCCGAUUGCGAAGGCAGCUCACUGGACUGCAACUGACACUGAUGCUCGAAAGUGUGGGUAUCAAACAGGAUUAGAUACCCUGGUAGUCCACACAGUAAACGAUGAAUACUCGCUGUUUGCGAUAUACAGUAAGCGGCCAAGCGAAAGCAUUAAGUAUUCCACCUGGGGAGUACGCCGGCAACGGUGAAACUCAAAGGAAUUGACGGGGGCCCGCACAAGCGGAGGAACAUGUGGUUUAAUUCGAUGAUACGCGAGGAACCUUACCCGGGCUUAAAUUGCAGUGGAAUGAUGUGGAAACAUGUCAGUGAGCAAUCACCGCUGUGAAGGUGCUGCAUGGUUGUCGUCAGCUCGUGCCGUGAGGUGUCGGCUUAAGUGCCAUAACGAGCGCAACCCUUAUCUUUAGUUACUAACAGGUUAUGCUGAGGACUCUAGAGAGACUGCCGUCGUAAGAUGUGAGGAAGGUGGGGAUGACGUCAAAUCAGCACGGCCCUUACGUCCGGGGCUACACACGUGUUACAAUGGGGGGUACAGAAGGCAGCUAGCGGGUGACCGUAUGCUAAUCCCAAAAUCCUCUCUCAGUUCGGAUCGAAGUCUGCAACCCGACUUCGUGAAGCUGGAUUCGCUAGUAAUCGCGCAUCAGCCACGGCGCGGUGAAUACGUUCCCGGGCCUUGUACACACCGCCCGUCAAGCCAUGGGAGCCGGGGGUACCUGAAGUACGUAACCGCAAGGAUCGUCCUAGGGUAAAACUGGUGACUGG
rnacentral:rRNA from 1 species